rnacentral:lncRNA from 1 species
UAACCCCAGCCGAAGUUCGUAAGAGGCCGACCCUCUCAGGGCUCUUCCGGCUUCCGACCUUGCAUAGCGUCUCUCUAAACCUCCCCGACCGUUCGAACUCCUAUCGUGCCAUCUGGACUUCUCCAAUCAAUGAGCUCCUCCAAUCAUCUACCGGACUGCUCCAAACACUCUCUGAGCUUCUCUUUCAGCCGAUUCUCUACAGUGAUCGACUACUCUCCAAAUCUCUUCCAGACUUCUCCCAGCCACGAUCGACUUUGCUCCGAACUCCUUUCGAGCUUCGUCGAUGUCCGAACUUCUCCAACAACAGAGCUUCUGCAGUAGCCAGACUCCAUCCAA